CUGCUUAUUCAUCCUCUUACGGUUUACAGCUUCUUCCUCAACAAAAGUGACUUAGUCUCGAAAGGUGAAAAACACAAAGAGACGUAGAUAUAAGGGCGUGACUAAUUGAGUGUAGAAGAAGAAGAAGCAGCGCCUUGUACACCAUUUAGCCAUUAUUAUAAAUGCGACGCGGAAUGAGGUGUGUUACUGUUAUAACCACUUAGACACCCCCUGUCAAAUUUAUUUUACUGUUCUAAUAUACUACUUUGUUACGGUUUU
ensembl:ncRNA T21B10.12 ncRNA